UACGUAGGCAGCAAGCGUUGUUCGGAGUUACUGGGCGUAAAGCGUGUGUAGGCGGCUUUGCAAGUCGGAUGUGAAAGCCCCGGGCUCAACCCGGGAAGUGCACUCGAUACUGCAGAGCUUGAGUGUCGGAGAGGUUGGUGGAAUUCUCGGUGUAGAGGUGAAAUUCGUAGAUAUUGGGAGGAACACCAGUGGCGAAGGCGGCUCACUGGACCGGUACUGACGCUGAUGCGCGAAAGCGUGGGGAGCAAACGGG
rnacentral:rRNA from 1 species